UACGGGGGGGGCAAGCGUUGUUCGGAAUUACUGGGCGUAAAGGGUUUGUAGGUGGCUUGUUAAGUCAGACGUGAAAUCCCUCAGCUUAACUGGGGAACUGCGUCUGAUACUGGCGAGCUUGAGUGCAGGAGAGGAACGCGGAAUUCCAGGUGUAGCGGUGAAAUGCGUAGAUAUUUGGAGGAACACCGGUGGCGAAGGCGGCGUCCUGGACCAACACUGACACUGAUGAGCGAAAGCCAGGGGAGCAAACGGG
rnacentral:rRNA from 1 species